GACGAACGCUGGCGGCGUGCUUAACACAUGCAAGUCGAACGGAAAGGCCCUGCUUUUGUGGGGUGCUCGAGUGGCGAACGGGUGAGUAACACGUGAGUAACCUGCCCUUGACUUUGGGAUAACUUCAGGAAACUGGGGCUAAUACCGGAUAGGAGCUCCUGCUGCAUGGUGGGGGUUGGAAAGUUUCGGCGGUUGGGGAUGGACUCGCGGCUUAUCAGCUUGUUGGUGGGGUAGUGGCUUACCAAGGCUUUGACGGGUAGCCGGCCUGAGAGGGUGACCGGCCACCUUGGGCCUGCGAUACGGCCCAGACUCCUGCGGGAGGCAGCAGUGGGGAAUAUUGCACAAUGGGCGGAAGCCUGAUGCAGCAACGCCGCGUGCGGGAUGACGGCCUUCGGGUUGUAGACCGCUUUCGCCUGUGACGAAGCGUGAGUGACGGUAAUGGGUAAAGAAGCACCGGCUAACUACGUG
rnacentral:rRNA from 1 species